CUCUAAUAUUAAGUCAGAUUAUAUAUUUCAUGGAAUAUAUACAGUAUAGGUAUUAGAUAUUAAAGGAAGUCUAUUCCUUCUUAAAAGCAAUUUUAAGUAAAUAUGAAUUAUAAAAGUAUAUGUAUUAGUAAAUUGAAAAAUUGAAUAUAUGUAUACUUU
rnacentral:ncRNA from 1 species